rnacentral:lncRNA from 1 species
AAGUUGUAGAUAUUUUCAAGACAAUAAAAAUGGACUUACAUUUUGCAUCAUUUGAAUUUUGGAUGAAGAAGUUAUGGGCACUUGAAGUUGGACUUUUUUGACUUUCAACGCAUUUGGUCCAAAGUGACCUAUAAUGUUUUGCCUUAUCACAUGUAUUUCUUUUGAGAUUUUGAAAUUUUGUUAAACAUAACAUUUGAGUUAGACAUCUUAAGAUUUCC